rnacentral:tRNA from 1 species
GAGGGUAUAGCUCAGUGGCAAAGUGCAUGGCUAGCAUGCAUGAGGUCUUGGGUUCAAACCCCAGUUCCUCUG